CCUACGGGCGGCAGCAGUGAGGAAUAUUGGUCAAUGGCCGAGAGUCUGAACCAGCCAAGUAGCGUGAAGGAUGACUGUCCUAUGGAUUGUAAACUUCUUUUAUAUGGGAGUAAAGUGAUCCACGUGUGGGAGUUUGUAUGUACCUUAUGAAUAAGGAUCGGCUAACUCCGUGCCAGCAGCCGCGGUAAUACGGAGGAUCCGAGCGUUAUCCGGAUUUAUUGGGUUUAAAGGGAGCGUAGGGGGGUUGUUAAGUCAGUUGUGAAAGUUUGCGGCUCAACCUUAAACUUGCAGUUGAAACUGGUAGUCUUGAGUACAGUAGAGGUGGGCGGAAUGCGUGGUGUAGCGGUGAAAUGCUUAGAUAUCACGAAGAACUCCGAUUGCGAAGGCAGCUCACUGGACUGCAACUGACACUGAGGCACGAAAGUGUGGGUAUCAAACAGGAUUAGAUACCCGUGUAGUC
rnacentral:rRNA from 1 species